GGUAUUAUCUUUAAAGGGGUAGGUAAAGAUUAUAAGUGGGAUGCCAUGCAGGAGUACCUUGUUUCGGGGCGCAUACCCAGCCUGAAGGCCAACCUUAAUGAAGAAGUACUGCUCAGCAAAACCCUGGCCAAUAAACUACAGCUUAACCUGGGCGAUAAAUUCAAUACCUAUUUUAUGAAAGAAGGCGGCAACGGCAUGCCAAACCUGCGCCGUUUUGAGCUGGUAGGUAUAUAUGAGUCGGGCUUUGGUGAGUUUGAUGCCACUUAUAUGAUAGGUGAUAUUCGCCAUGUGCAGCGCAUAAACAAGUGGCGCAAUGGCGAAGUAGGCGCUUUUGAAGUAUUUAUAGAUGACUUUACUAAAAUAUCUGAAAAGGGGGAGGAAGUGUAUAAAGCCAUACCCAGCACCCUAAAUGCCGAAACCAUACAGGAAAAAUACAUUAAUAUAUUUGAGUGGCUCAGGCUGUUUGAUGUAAAUAUUAUGGUAAUCAUUAUUAUUAUGGUGGUUGUAGCUACUAUAAAUAUGGUGGUGGCCAUACUGGUUCUUAUCCUGGAGCGCACCCAAAUGGUAGGCAUGCUCAAGGCACUUGGGGCAAAUAACUGGAGCGUGCGCAAAAUUUUCCUGUACAAUUCGGCCUACCUUAUUAUAAAAGGGCUGCUUUGGGGCAACGGAAUUGCAUUUGCAUUGCUGCUUGCGCAGAAGUAUUUUGGCAUAAUUACCCUCGAUCCGCAAAAUUAUUAUGUAAGUGUGGCACCGGUAUCACUACAUCUGCCGGCCAUUUUAAUAAUAAAUGUAGGUACAAUUGCUGUUUGUACCGCCCUUUUAUUAAUCCCGUCUUAUAUAAUAACAAAGAUUUCUCCGGUAAAAGCACUUCGUUUCGACUAAGGCAACUAUCAAAAUCUGUUGUUUUUUCAGAAACCGGUACUGCUGAAUGAAAAUUCUUCAAAAACCUUGUUUUUGUAAGUGUUCGUAUUAUCAGAAUGUUAAGAAAAAGUUUUAAAAAAAGUGUUUUAAAAGUUUGCGAAAGUGCAAAAGGGUGUUACUUUUGCACCCGCAAUCAAGCAACGUUCUACACUUACUGAAAACAACGGCAAAGCUGGUUUUACAUCAGAAAAGUCUUCAAAAAAAUAAAUUUGAAAAAAGUUGUUGAAAGAUUAGGAAGUAAAGAAAAAGUUACUACUUUUGCACCCGCUACAACAGCGACGCUCUUAGAAAGAUUGAAAGACGGAUUGGUUAACAGAAAAGCUGAGUUACUAUAAAGAAUGAGGUUUUGGAAUUAGCCAAAAAGUUUAAAAAAAAGUUUUAAAAAAGCUUGGAUUUAAAGGGGAAAAGAUUUUAUCUUUGCCCUCCCAAACUGAGAGGUUCGGGACAUAAUGAGAGGUUAAAGUGAAGCUUUAAACGGUAAGAAAAAAANAUGGCCAACGGGUUAAUAUUCCCGUACUUCUUAUAAUUGUGAUGGGGCGACGGAGUGAUGAAAGCACCGCGAACUGACGGAAUAGUUCGUUAAAGUACCUAGCUAUAGGAUUUGUAGUUAAAUGCGCAGAUUCUGGUGAAAUACGAUAGUACUCAGAGCCUUCGGGCAAAGAGAUAGUGUGCCUAAGGGCUUCCAAGAAAAACCUCUAAACUUAGAUUAUAAGAACCCGUACCGUAAACCGACACAGGUAGUCGAGGAGAGUAUCCUAAGGCGCUCGAGAGAUUCAUGGCUAAGGAAUUAGGCAAAAUAGACCUGUAACUUCGGGAGAAAGGUCGCCAGCAGCAAUGCUGGCCGCAGUGAAAAGGUCCAGGCGACUGUUUAUCAAAAACACAGGGCUCUGCAAAAUCGUAAGAUGAAGUAUAGGGCCUGACACCUGCCCGGUGCUGGAAGGUUAAGAGGAGAUGUUAUCUUCGGAGAAGCAUUGAAUUGAAGCCCCAGUAAACGGCGGCCGUAACUAUAACGGUCCUAAGGUAGCGAAAUUCCUUGUCGGGUAAGUUCCGACCUGCACGAAUGGUGUAACGAUCUGGACACUGUCUCAGCCAUGAGCUCGGUGAAAUUGUAGUAUCGGUGAAGAUGCCGAUUACCCGCAGUGGGACGAAAAGACCCUGUGCACCUUUACUAUAGCUUAGUAUUGACCUUGGAUAAGUGAUGUGUAGGAUAGGUGGGAGACUGUGAAUCGGGUUCGCCAGGAUUCGAGGAGUCAUUGUUGAAAUACCACCCUUUGCUUAUCUGAGGCCUAACCCCGCGUUGCGGGGGACAUUGCUUGGUGGGUAGUUUGACUGGGGUGGUCGCCUCCAAAAGAGUAACGGAGGCUUCUAAAGGUUCCCUCAGCACGCUUGGUAACCGUGCGUAGAGUGCAAUGGCAUAAGGGAGCUUGACUGAGAGACAUACAGGUCGAUCAGGUACGAAAGUAGAGCAUAGUGAUCCGGUGGUUCCGUAUGGAAGGGCCAUCGCUCAAAGGAUAAAAGGUACGCCGGGGAUAACAGGCUGAUCUCCCCCAAGAGCUCAUAUCGACGGGGGGGUUUGGCACCUCGAUGUCGGCUCGUCACAUCCUGGGGCUGGAGAAGGUCCCAAGGGUUGGGCUGUUCGCCCAUUAAAGUGGCACGCGAGCUGGGUUCAGAACGUCGUGAGACAGUUCGGUCUCUAUCUACUGCGGGCGUUAGAAAUUUGCGUGGAUCUGAUUCUAGUACGAGAGGACCGAGUCGGACGAACCACUGGUGUAUCUGUUGUCCCGCCAGGGGCACCGCAGAGUAGCCACGUUCGGAAGGGAUAAGCGCUGAAAGCAUAUAAGCGCGAAACCCACCACAAGAUGAGAUUUCUUUUAAGGGUCGUGGAAGAUGACCACGUUGAUAGGCUACAGGUGUAAAGGCAGUAAUGUCAUAGCCGAGUAGUACUAAUAACCCGUAAGCUUAUGUAC
rnacentral:rRNA from 1 species